GGGCCAGAACAGAACCUGAGAUUGGCCCCUGGACCAGUACAAGUGGCCAAACUGUGUGCAGAGAGUAUUGAAACUACACCAGUUACUCCCUACUUACCACCUCCUGACCUCACUUGGAGUUUUCCCCUUCAGCCUCUUCCUGCAGCAUAUAGGUCUAUUAAAUGACUUUUUUACAUCAUACUCACCAAGUGGGUCUGAGCUCUGCUUAGCUCACUAACGGUUAAUGCUUGCCAACCAUUUUCUCCAACCAAGAGAGCCACUCUCUCAUGGAGAAACUCCUUAUCAGCCUGCCAGCUUGUGAACUCCUCAGCAUUUGAUCUGCUGCAGACAGGGAGCUGCUGAAAUCAAUAGCUGAAUUGAUCGAGUGGCAACUGGAGAGCCUGUGCCUGCCUGGGCUAACGCGGCUGGGAGAUGAAGUCGGGGACUGAAAUGCUUUCAGAAGAGUUCGGAGCUUCAGACAGGAGAUUUUCUGUGGACUAGAGAUUUUAGAUGUCCUCAUACGAACUCUGAUGUAGCCAACUCACCCCCAAAUCAGUCUUUUCAUCCUGUAAACAUGGGGCUCAAAGUUCUCGCUGUGACUGAGCUCCCAGGAAGGACCUGGAGGAGCUGCCUUUGGUGCUUCCAGGGUUGUGUUCUCCAUGAGGUGAGACAUUGGGUCCCUGCGGUACAGACCAGUGCAGCUACUGGUUCCUUUCACAGCGAGUCUCCUUGGGGGGACAGGGAAGAGCAAGGAGCUCAGAGCCACACUGGGUUGUCCUACCAGAGCCACCACGACCCUCUGCUCUCCUGGCCACGAGGACAGCCAGCUCUCAUCACUGCAGCUCUCCAAAUCUUCCCAAUGCCAGUGUGACACUUUCACCCUCUGGGCUUUCAGAAGGAGCCCUGAAAACAAGCACUCUCAGCCCAGGGUUUUUUUGUGUGCCAAAAUUGUGACCUGGUGUGUGGGCCACAGGAGGUGUUCUUGGAAACUGGCUGUUUCUAGUCUCCAUGGCCUUGUCUUCCAGCAAUGCUGCUGCCUGAGGAGCCAGCCCCAUCCUGACCCACCUGGUCCUGGACCCUUCCCAGCCUGGGC